GCGUCGGCCUGGCGCGGGGUGAGGGCGUCGCGCUCGGCGUGAGAGUGGGGGUUGGCGUCGGCUCCGGUGCGCCGGUCGUCGGAUCGGCCGCCGCCGUG
rnacentral:tRNA from 1 species